rnacentral:rRNA from 1 species
GACGAACGCUGGCGGCGUGCUUAACACAUGCAAGUCGAACGGAAAGGCCCUGCUUUUGUGGGGUGCUCGAGUGGCGAACGGGUGAGUAACACGUGAGUAACCUGCCCUUGACUUUGGGAUAACUUCAGGAAACUGGGUCUAAUACCGGAUAGGAGCUCCUGCUGCAUGGUGGGGGUUGGAAAGUUUCGGCGGUUGGGGAUGGACUCGCGGCUUAUCAGCUUGUUGGUGGGGUAGUGGCUUACCAAGGCUUUGACGGGUAGCCGGCCUGGGAGGGUGACCGGCCACAUUGGGACUGAGAUACGGCCCAGACUCCUACGGGAGGCAGCAGUGGGGAGUAUUGCACAAUGGGCGGAAGCCUGAUGCAGCAACGCCGCGUGCGGGAUGACGGCCUUCGGGUUGUAAACCGCUUUCGCCUGUGACGAAGCGUGAGUGACGGUAAUGGGUAAAGAAGCACCGGCUAACUACGUG